UGGUAAAUGCAAAUUGCAAACGUUUUUGUUUCUUAAUAAUGUGUUUCUUGCGUGCGAAGAAACCUCUUUUAUUUUUAACCUAACUACAAUUAACCUAUGCAGAUGAACAUGGUUCUGAUGGAAACACUUCGUCUAUACGGACCAGUGUUAAAUAUGAUUCGGUCAGCAGCACAAGACAUGAAGCUAGGAAACCUAGUGAUCCCUAAAGGCACAACCAUAGUGGUCCCCAUUGUGAAGAUGCACAGAGACAAAGCCGUUUGGGGAAGUGACAGCGAUAAAUUCAAUCCACUGCGGUUUGUAAACGGCGUUUCCCGAGCUGCUAAUCAUCCAAACGCUUUCCUCGCGUUUUCUAUAGGACCUAGAGUCUGCAUUGGCCAAAACUUUGCCCUGAUGGAAGCUAAGACGGUUCUCACCAUGAUUCUUCAACGUUUCCGGCUUAAUCUCUCCGACGAGUAUAAGCACGCCCCCGCAGAUCAUCUCACUCUUCAGCCACAGUACGGUUUACCGCUAGUUCUUCAACCUAUCAACUAGUUGAUGUACAACAGCUGCAUCCACAUUGUAUGAAACUUUGUAAAUGAUUGGGAUUAUUAAUAAAAUCAUUUUGGACAGGCCCAUUAGUGAUCGGGCGCUAUUUGCUAUCUAAUGUAAACUGUCAGGCCAAUUUAAAAACUAAAGUCAAAGUGACUGGUCAAAAUGAUCCUACAGAAUUUGAGCUACGGCAACCAUCUUACAAAUAUUUUAUACAAAUAUCCGUGUUGUAAUUAUAUUUUAACUAGAAAGUGACCAACAGAAUAAAUAAUUUUAACUGAUAUUUUCCAUAGGAUCUAAAGGAGAAGCAAGACUAUUGACACUAACAUAGAUGAUUGAAAAAUGAAAACUAUAGUUAUUUCAUAUUCUGUGGUUGAUUGUUUGUGGUUUUUAAAAUAGUUUUUGGUUUUUUUCUUUCUAAAAUCUACUUUUUUACCAAUCAAGUUUUUAGGAAAUAGAUUCUCUAAAUUUUACGGAAACCAAAUUUUGAAAAUAACCACGUCUUCUUAACAAAAACCAAAAUCCAUAUUUCUUUGGUUUUUUAUAUACACGUGAGCUUUCUUUUUUUCUCUUUUUUGUUAAAUAUUCUUAUAUUAAUGCAUUAGUAUAGCAAAAAAUAAUAUCUAUACAAAUUAGUCUGUUUAAAUAGUAAUUAUUCAAAAUCUUUAUAGUUGAAUAAAAUAAUUUAUCUGAAAUCUAAAAUCUAAUAGGAAAAUAUAUUUAUUUUUAUUAAACUUUGGAGCUUUGUUUUGGUAAAUUAUUUAAUAAUUUUUAAAAAAUAUUUUAACAUGGGCUUUAAUUGUAGAAAUUUAAAUUUUUUAUAAAGUUAUAAAUUAUAUAUGUUUAUAGCACUAUAUAAUAAUUUUUAUUUUAACACCUUAGCUAUUAGUAUUUAAAUUACAAAACUUUAUACACUUAUCAUAGUGUUAAAAUAUAUUUAAUUUUUUUAAAUAAAAAAAUAACUAUUUUAUGUGGUAAUAUUUUGUAUAUUUAUAUUUACCUAUUAAGUAAUAUAUUGUUAUUAAGUAAUAUAGUCAUACUUGUAAUAUAUUGUUAUAAUGUAAUAUACUGUUAUUAAGUAAUAUGUUUAUACUUGUAAAUUAAAAUAAGUUCAAAAAACUUACAAAUGCAUAUUUUUGUGAGAUUCACCAUAUAUAGUUCAAUUUUGUGUUUCCAAUUUUCGUUUUAAAGUAAUUCAUUAGUUAAAUUUAUAUGUGUUUUGAUAACAAUAAUUUAUAUUUGAUAAUUUCAAAAAAAAAAAAUUUCUAUUAAUACUAUUUUUAUUUAUUAGUUUUUAAAGCAAAACCCAAAAACAAAAAUCUAGAUUCUAAAACUGUCAUUUAUAUUUUUCAAAAAACUAAAAUCUACUCCAAAAUCAAAAACUAAAAUCUAAUACCAAAAACCAAAAUUUAAAAACCAAAAAUCAAAUAUCAUUUUGGAUCUUGAGAGGGAGAGAGUAAAGAAAACACCAUUUGAGGGAGAAGAGAAGAAAAUGAAAGAGAAGAAAAUGAAAGUUUCAGAGAAAGAAACUUUAGGAUGAAGAAGAAGAAGAACGAGAAAGAUAUUUAUAUUGUGCGAUUAAGAGAGAAAAAAAAGUCACCGACCACUUUUUUCUCGCUUUGGAGAGUGUGUGUACUAAUCCCUAAGCUUCUUUUACUACUAAUUAAUACUCCACUGAGAGAAAGUGUGUACACAGAGAGAGGAAAUCAUAAAGAAAUUUUUGUUAUUUUCUUCCCCCACAUAUGAGACCCCUCACGUAAUAAUUCUUAGGGAUUCGACAUUUGUUAACACACUAUUUUAAAAGUUUAAACAAUGCAAAAUGCAUUUUAUAUGAGAGAACUGCGCGUACGAUCCGUCAAUACAUAGUAUUAAACUCCUAUCUUUCUCUUUGCAUCUUCUUAGCUCCUUCUUCUUCUUCUUUUUCUUCUCAUCUUCUUCUUAGUCUUCAAUCGUCUUCUUCACCUUCACUUAUUUUUUCUUUUGUUUUCAACAGGAAAGACUUGAGAAGAAGAAAAUAGAAGAAGCAAAGUGUCACAAUCUCGAAAUACAAAAGACAAAAACUGCACAUAAUCUGCAUAAUCAACACAUGAUAAAUUUAUUAUUCGGUGAAAACUUAGCUCCUCCUUUGAUGUGGUACUUGGCUCUCUUACAUCCAAUAACUCAAUAACGUUUUAAGUACUUUUUGGACAUAUCUGAAAAUUGAGAUGAUCCAAAUUUGUCAAACUCAUUAUCUGAAAAUGGAGAACAAGGACAACAAAUCUAAUGUUUGAAAUUUGUUUGAUACUAUAUAAUAAGCUAAUUAUAAAAAAAAAGAUCAACAUGGUUCAUAUUAUCAAAGAGAAUGCACUAGACUGUUUAUGUUCCUGAAAAAUACUCGUUAAUGGCAUUCAAAUCAGUAUAAUCAGAUAAAGAAUUAACGGCACUCGUUAAUCGGAUAAUGAAAAUUAAUAUUCAACAUCGCAUCUACUCCAGCUUGCACCUACAUAUACCUUCACAUAAAAGUUGAAACCAAUGUUUAAAGUUUUUUUUUAGUAUACUAUAUUAGAAUAAGGUGUUGUUAGGAUUAAAACGUUAAUUAGAGUUAAAAGUUUUUAAGAUGAAUUUGGUACCAAAACUGUCGUUGCUUUUAUUCACUAUCAAUAAAGAAGUUCACGAAUUUGCUUAACUCAAACAAGAAUCCUAAACCCGGCGCUUUUAUUCUCGUAUAUCCUUUUUUUUCCCUAAUCCUAGCCUCAAUUGGUCAAAACUUUGCUUAUCAUGAAUUGAUCAAUCUUCCAACCAAACAACUAAAUCAAUAUUGGGCCUGGAUUAAUGAUGUGUAUCGGGCCUAAUUGAACACACUCCAUAGUAGGCCGAACACUUCACCUUGUCCUUGAAGCAAACCAUUCAGAGUUGAAAGGAAGCCUUAAGCAAAGUAUUAUGUUUACUUUUGUAAUUAUUUCUUGCUUUUCACUAUAACGAAUCCUAACGUUGGAGAACUGAUAUGAAACAUGAUCAUGUACGAUGAACAUGGUGCUGAUGGAAACACUUCGUCUAUACGGACCAGUGUUGUGAUUCGGUCAGCAGCACAAGACAUGAAGCUAGGAAACCUAGUGAUCCCUAAAGGCACAACCAUAGUGGUCCCCAUUGUGAAGAUGCACAGAGACAAAGCCGUUUGGGGAAAUGACAGUGAUAAAU
rnacentral:lncRNA from 1 species